rnacentral:rRNA from 1 species
UACGGGGGGAGCAAGCGUUGUUCGGAUUUACUGGGCGUAAAGAGCUCGUAGGCGGUCUGUCGCGUCGGCUGUGAAAUCCCGAGGCUCAACCUCGGGUCUGCAGUCGAUACGGGCAAACUAGAGUAUUGCAGGGGAGACUGGAAUUCCUGGUGUAGCGGUGAAAUGCGCAGAUAUCAGGAGGAACACCAAUAGCGAAGGCAGCUCGCUGGGACGGUAUUGACGCUGAGGCGCGAAAGCGUGGGGGAGCAAACAGG